GUUAUAUGGUCAAGCGAAUAAGCGCACACGGUGGAUGCCUUGGCGGUCAGAGGCGAUGAAGGACGUGGCAGCCUGCGAAAAGUAUCGGGGAGCUGGCAACAAGCUUUGAUCCGGUAAUGUCCGAAUGGGGAAACCCACCCGCUUGCGGGUAUCCUGCAGUGAAUACAUAGCUGCUGGAAGCGAACCUGGUGAACUGAAAUAUCUAAGUAACCAGAGGAAAAGAAAUCAACCGAGAUUCCGUAAGUAGCGACGAGCGAACGCGGACUAGCCCUUAAGCUGAUUUGGUUCUAGGAAAACGCUCUGGAAAGAGUGGCCAUAGAAGGUGAUAGCCCUGUAUCUGAAAGGGCCAUUUCAGUGAAGACGAGUAGGGCGGGGCACGUGAAACCCUGUCUGAACAUGGGGGGACCAUCCUCCAAGGCUAAAUACUACUGACCGACCGAUAGUGAACCAGUACCGUGAGGGAAAGGCGAAAAGAACCCCGGAGAGGGGAGUGAAAUAGAACCUGAAACCGUGUGCGUACAAGCAGUAGGAGCUCCGCAAGGAGUGACUGCGUACCUUUUGUAUAAUGGGUCAGCGACUUACUGUUCGUGGCAAGCUUAACCGUAUAGGGGAGGCGAAGGGAAACCGAGUCUGAUAAGGGCGCAUAGUCGCGGGCAGUAGACCCGAAACCGGGUGAUCUAGUCAUGCCCAGGGUGAAGGUGCGGUAACACGCACUGGAGGCCCGAACCCACUCCCGUUGCAAAGGUAGGGGAUGAGGUGUGAUUAGGAGUGAAAAGCUAAUCGAACCCGGAGAUAGCUGGUUCUCCUCGAAAGCUAUUUAGGUAGCGCCUCAUAUGUAUCCUCUCGGGGGUAGAGCACUGUUAUGGCUAGGGGGUCAUCGCGACUUACCAAACCAUUGCAAACUCCGAAUACCGAGACGGACUGUAUGGGAGACACACGGCGGGUGCUAACGUCCGUCGUGAAAAGGGAAACAACCCAGACCCACAGCUAAGGUCCCAAAUUUUGUGCUAAGUGGAAAACCAUGUGGAAAGGCACAGACAGCCAGGAGGUUGGCUUAGAAGCAGCCACCCUUUAAAGAAAGCGUAAUAGCUCACUGGUCGAGUCGGUCUGCGGGGAAGAUUUAACGGGGCUAAGCACAGAACCGAAGCUUGGGGUGCAUAACUUUGUUAUGCGCGGUAGAGGAGCGUUCCGUAAGCCGUUGAAGGUGGAUUGAGAAGUCUGCUGGAGGUAUCGGAAGUGCGAAUGCUGACAUGAGUAACGAUAAUGCGGGUGAAAAACCCGCACGCCGAAAGCCCAAGGUUUCCUUGCGCAACGUUAAUCGGCGCAGGGUGAGUCGGCCCCUAAGGCGAGGACGAAAGUCGUAGUCGAUGGGAAGCAGGUUAAUAUUCCUGCACCUCGCGUAAGUGCGAUGGAGGGACGGAGAAGGUUAGGUGUACCAGGCGUUGGUUGUCCUGGGGAAAGGCGGUAGGUUUGGAUCUUUGGCAAAUCCGGGAUCCUCUAAGACCGAGCACCGAGACGAGCCUUUAUGGCGAAGUCACUGAUACCACGCUUCCAGGAAAAGCUCCUAAGCUUCAGCUUACGCAGACCGUACCGUAAACCGACACAGGUGGGUAGGAUGAGAAUUCUCAGGCGCUUGAGAGAACUCGGGUGAAGGAACUAGGCAACAUGGCACCGUAACUUCGGGAGAAGGUGCACCCUUUUUGGUGGCUCGUGCGAGCUAUAGCUGAAGAGGGUCGCAGUAACCAGGCCGCUGCGACUGUUUAUCAAAAACACAGCACUCUGCAAACACGAAAGUGGACGUAUAGGGUGUGACGCCUGCCCGGUGCUGGAAGGUUAAUUGAUGGGGUCAGCCGCAAGGCGAAGCUCUUGAUCGAAGCCCCAGUAAACGGCGGCCGUAACUAUAACGGUCCUAAGGUAGCGAAAUUCCUUGUCGGGUAAGUUCCGACCUGCACGAAUGGCGUAACGACAGCGGCGCUGUCUCCACCCGAGACUCAGUGAAAUUGAAAUCGCUGUGAAGAUGCAGCGUUCCCGUGGCAAGACGGAAAGACCCCGUGAACCUUUACUAUAGCUUUACACUGAACGUUGAGUUCGUCUGUGUAGGAUAGGUGGGAGGCUAUGAAACCAUGGCGCUAGCUGUGGUGGAGCCAUCCUUGAAAUACCACCCUGUCGUGCUUGACGUUCUAACCUGGGCCCAUUAUCUGGGUCGGGGACCGUGUAUGGUGGGUAGUUUGACUGGGGCGGUCUCCUCCUAAAGAGUAACGGAGGAGCUCGAAGGUACGCUCAGCGCGGUCGGACAUCGCGCACUGUGUGCAAAGGCAUAAGCGUGCUUGACUGCAAGAUCGACGGAUCAAGCAGGUAGGAAACUAGGACUUAGUGAUCCGGUGGUUCUGUAUGGAAGGGCCAUCGCUCAACGGAUAAAAGGUACUCCGGGGAUAACAGGCUGAUACCGCCCAAGAGUUCAUAUCGACGGCGGUGUUUGGCACCUCGAUGUCGGCUCAUCACAUCCUGGGGCUGUAGUCGGUCCCAAGGGUAUGGCUGUUCGCCAUUUAAAGUGGUACGCGAGCUGGGUUCAGAACGUCGUGAGACAGUUCGGUCCCUAUCUGCCAUGGGCGUUGGAGAUUUGAGAGGGGCUGCUCCUAGUACGAGAGGACCGGAGUGGACGAACCUCUGGUGUUCCGGUUGUCACGCCAGUGGCAUUGCCGGGUAGCUAUGUUCGGAAGCGAUAACCGCUGAAAGCAUCUAAGCGGGAAGCGCGCCUCAAGAUGAGAUCUCCCGGGGCACAAGCCCCCUGAAGGAACCAUGUAGACUACGUGGUUGAUAGGUCAGGUGUGUAAGUACAGCAAUGUAUUGAGCUAACUGAUACUAAUGAUCCGUGCGGCUUGACCAUAUAACCU
rnacentral:rRNA from 1 species